UACAGACACUCUGUGCAUGUG
rnacentral:miRNA from 1 species